GAUGAACGCUGGCGGCGUGCUUAACACAUGCAAGUUGAACGAAGAUGCCGGAGUGCUUGCACUUUGGCAGACUGAGUGGCGGACGGGUGAGUAACGCGUGGGUAACCUGCCUUAUACAGGGGGAUAACAGUUGGAAACGACUGCUAAUACCGCAUAAGCCCACGGCUCGGCAUCGAGCAGAGGGAAAAGGAGUGACUCCGCUUUGAGAUGGCCUCGCGUCCGAUUAGCUAGUUGGUGAGGUAACGGCCCACCAAGGCAACGAUCGGUAGCCGGACUGAGAGGUUGAACGGCCACAUUGGGACUGAGACACGGCCCAGACUCCUACGGGAGGCAGCAGUGGGGAAUAUUGCACAAUGGGGGAAACCCUGAUGCAGCGACGCCGCGUGGAGGAAGAAGGUCUUCGGAUUGUAAACUCCUGUUGUUGAGGAAGAUAAUGACGGUACUCAACAAGGAAGUGACGGCUAACUACGUG
rnacentral:rRNA from 1 species